rnacentral:lncRNA from 1 species
UAUACAAUUACGUAUAUGUGCCAUAGUCAAUAACCAUAAAAUCUUUACAAGUUUUAAUAUAAUCUAACGGUUUUGAUUUGCCGUUUCCCAUAACCAUACUUGAUAGUUUAGAGGUGAACACCCGAUUCCAGGAUUUGUUCGUAAAACCCUAACAACAAGACUCGAUUAGACAACUUUCAAAUGGGCUAGGUUUAUACAUAAGCAUUUCUUCAACUGUCAAACAAAAUGUUUCAAAUUUUUUUUUUCCAGAUUCUCAUGUGAUUCCAUUCCAGAUGUUUACAAAUUCCAGUUUAGAAUCAAAACAGACCCGUCAAACCAUAUCGGUCAGCAACAUUGUACAUUACGAGUUCAUCCCAGGUAUGGCCAAAAAGGCGUUCGCCUCCGAUGGUGAAAGUGAGGGACCAGGAAGCUAACAUGGCAGAAAAUACCGUCAAUCCUAUUGCUGAUCCUACAACAUCUAUAAACAAAAAAAAAAGAGAGAUCAACACCACCCGCUUACCCGAAUAAGGGAUCCCUUUAUUCACUUACCCACAUCAAAACCGAAUGUUUGAAAGUUAGAAACUUUAAACUAAUAAAGAAUGUGAAAUCAUUACAAUUGUACUCAAGUAUUUGAAAGUCGGUUUAUAGUGUGAUUUGAGAUUGGUUUCACAUAAUUAAAUCCAAACAAGUAAUUUUAACCACCUAAGAUCAUAAACAAGGGUCCUUGAUGCCUGUAGGGUUCACAACCCUGCAAACCUGACAGGUAAUGCAUAAUUGGCAAGGUUUAAAAAACGGAAACGAGUUUCGAGGCGUUUUCCCUUCGCCUCAUGAGGCGUAAGCCUCGAGGCAAACCGAGACGGAAUUGAAAAAUAAAUAUAAAAGUUAUGGGUAAAACAUAUAACUUUCCUAAUGUAAAUAAACUUGUGAGAAUUGUUUUAGGUUAAAUAUGAUAAAAGUUUAAUGUUUAAGGGUCCUAAUGUAAGUUUUUGUAAACGGAAUGAAUAAAAGAGCCGUCCUUUUUUCAGUAACCCUAAAAGAGUUACGCCUCAAUCAUCUUCUCCAUUCCUGAAACCCUAAUUUUUCUUGGUCACUCAUCGCUACAAGCCAGGUACGUCUCCAUCUUUAAUCUACCUUUGUAUUUCGUAAAGCCUCUUUCAGAAUCGACCCUGUUUUCUUCAGUAACCCUAUAAAACCCUAAUUUCUCUCGCCUAAAAAGACAUGUACGCCUCUUAAUUUCCGUGCCGCCUCGACAAGAAACGUCCGCCUCAUACCUUUGAAGCGUACGUAUAAAAACAAGCAGUGAGGCGCGCCUCAAAACGGACGCCUCGAGCGUUUUUUUAAGCCAUGGUAAUUGGAUACCCGAUAGAUUGGGAAUGGUUUUAGAAUCGGGUAUGGGAAUAGGAUUACCAAAGCAUGUCCCAUACCCAUUGGGUAUCAUCCAUCAAAUAUUCCAAUUACUCAUAAUUAACAAACUAAUUUCCAAGUAAACAUAGAGUGUAACUUUAGUUGUUCUCAUCAUCAAUGCAUCAUCUAUCAGCUUGUAAAUAAACCUUAAAACACCAAAACACUAGUGUAAAAAUUUUAGAUCUGAUUUUAAAAGUUGCAUAUUGCAUAUGCAGCUAACCCACUGUUCCUUUAACUUCUUCUCACAUGAAUUGCAUAAUAAUAAUAUUAGGUUAUAGAACGAAGUCUGUUUUGUAUUGACAACCCCAAGUGUAAGCUGUAAAAAAGGGCAUGUCUUCACUCGUCACCUUGGUUUUAUAAAGUGCGAGGCGUUUAGGUCCCAAAAGCCAAGGCUAGAGCUUCAGGUACACUCAAUGUUCAAUCAAAUAUACAAACAACCACAAGCUGCAUUUCUCAUUAUCAAGUAAACCAUUCAUAAAUUCUUCAUCCCUGAUCCUUUUGGUCAUUCUUACUUAUCAGCCUACCACAUUUCCCUAAAUUAUGUGCACCUCAAGGCCAUGAAGCGUUUUCUAAUUCACCCCGUGCCUUAGGCGGCACACUUUUUAAAACCAAGCUUGUCACCGACUUUUGACUAUUCUAUUCUAGUCUGGUACAGGUCACAAAAUGAAAGACAUCUCAUUCGAUAUUACUUUUCUUCUUUAAAUUGAGCUUUUCGUUUUUACAUAUAACGUGUUGGUAUUUAUUUUCUCAGUUUGAAGAGUGAUUCCCUAAUUCUUUUCUCAUAUUUUGCCCUAAAUUGUCUGACAUCGUAACUAAUUCAUUUUCCAUUUUGAUGUCAACUCUAGUUACCUUUCUCAAAUAUAUAACAUCAAGUCGUAUAGAUCUAACCAAAUUCCAAACAAUAUGAUAACUAUCUAUCGAGUAUAUGUAUACAAUAAAAAUGAAAUGAAAUGAACUUACAAGGGCGGAUUCGGGGGAAGGAGGUGGAGUGACGAAGAACAGGCCAGAAGUAGUAGCAGUUUACGGCCCACAGCAAAGGCAAUAAGAGGAAGCCGAAGCCAAAGAACUUACGGGCGUAACCGACGGAGUCUUCCUCCGAAAGCCCCAGUGGUCCGUCGAUUGUUGGCCACUCCGGUCGCAGUGAUGAGGAGGAGGAGGUCAUGUUAGGGUUAGGGUUAGGGUUUAUGAGGACGGUGCCUUCCGAAGGAGUUACUUCCUCCGAUGAUGAUCUCUCCAUUCUCUCUCUCC